rnacentral:rRNA from 1 species
UACAGAGGUCUCAAGCGUUGUUCGGAUUCAUUGGGCGUAAAGGGUGCGUAGGCGGCGAGGCAAGUCAGGUGUGAAAUCUCGGGGCUCAACUCCGAAACUGCACUUGAUACUGCCUUGCUAGAGUACUGGAGAGGAGAUUGGAAUUUACGGUGUAGCAGUGAAAUGCGUAGAUAUCGUAAGGAAGACCAGUGGCGAAGGCGAAUCUCUGGACAGUUACUGACGCUGAGGCACGAAGGCCAAGGGAGCAAACAGG